UUAGAUGUACACACAGACACAUCCUGGUGACCCUCCUCACGUCUCUUCUCCUUGUCUGCAGACCAACAGGACGCCACGUCAUCGGGACGCCUUCAGGACGCCGCGUCAGCCCCUCAGGAGCAAAUCCAGAUCUACUCAUGACACACCCACACACACACACACACACACACACAGAUGUACUCACAGACCCACUAACAUUUGGUUCUAAACAAAGACACACACUAACAGUUGGAUGUACACAAAGACACAUUAAUAUUUAGAUGUACACACAGACACACUAACAAUUAGAUGUACACACAGACACACUAACAAUUAGAUGUACACAGACACACUAACAAUUAGAUGUACACACAGACACAUCGUGAUGAUCCUCCUCACGUCUCUUCUCCUUGUCUGCAGACCAACAGGACGCUAUCAGGACGCCACGUCAUCGGGACGCCAUCAGGACGCCGCGUCAACCCCUCAGGAGGAAAUCCAGAUCUACUCAUGACACACACACACACACACACAGAUAUGUACUCAGAGACACGUUAACAUUUGGUUCUAAACAAAGACACACACUAAUAUUUAGAUGUACACAAAGACAUAUUCAUAUUUAGAUGUACACACAGACACACUAACAUUUGGUUCUAAACAAAGACACACACUAAUAUUUAGAUGUACACAAAGACACAAUAACAAUUAGAUGUACACACAGACACACUAACAAUUAGAUCUACACACAGACAGACUAACAAUUAGAUGUACACACGGACACACUAACAAUUAGAUGUACACACAGACACACUAACAAUUAGAUGUACACACAGACACAUCCUGAUGAUCCUCCUCACGUCUCUUCUCCUUGUCUGCAGACCAACAGGACGCCAUCAGGACGUCAUCGGGACACCAUCAGGAUUCCAUCAGGACGCCUUAAGGACGCCGCGUCAACCCCUCAGGAGCAAAUCAAGAUCUACUCAUGACACACACACACACCCACACACACACACACACACAGAUGUACUCAGAGACACACUAACAUUUAGACACGCUGGCAAAUUUAGACACACACAGACACACUAUUAUUUGGUUCUAAACAAAGACACACACUAAUAUUUAGAUGUACACAAAGACACACACU
ensembl:lncRNA